rnacentral:rRNA from 1 species
UUGAAGUCGAGAAUGAAAGGAAAAAUUGAAAUAAACUGUCUUAAAAGUUUUUUUUAAAAUUACUAAUAUGGUGAAAAUUCCAUAAUAAAUUUUAAUAGACGAGAAGACCCUAUGAAUUAUAUUAUUAAAAGUUAAUCGUUUAAUUUUAAUUUUUGUUGGGGCAACAGAGAAUAAAUAAAAAUUCUAAAUUUACUGUUAAUAUUUGAAGUUUUACUAUAAAUAAAUUUAAUU